CUCACUGGGCAGACGUGCUUGUGGUAGCAGGUUAAUAAAAUAGUUGAGCAGCAUUUAGUUUCCACUGCACAGCCAGCCUAGAUGGCAUCUGUGGGCAGCGCUUUUGUGUGAAGGAAGCACAGUUAAAGUCUAGAAUCUAAGGAAAGAAGAGCAUAUAUCAUAUUUAAAGGAGAUUUUGAGCUUACGGUAAGAAGGAGAAUUAUAUUUUAUAUCAUAACUUUAAUAGCUGAGGAGCUGUAUCUCAAAGUGCUUUACGAAGGGAUGAGGCAGAUAGUGAUAGUUCAAGCAACGUGUAGGAAAACGUGCCAGCCAUAUGUGUAGCUGUAUCUCACACGCAGUCUUGGAAAUAAUUUAUUUUUAUUGAAGGGAUGAAUUUGCCAGAACAUCAAAGCUGUCUUCUGCACUUUGGAAGAAGUGCCACGUUGUCUUUAAUCUAAAAGGCUGGUGACAGGAGGGUCUGCCUCACCAGCUAUCUCCUUCUCUUCCCAAACUCGUCCUGCGUGUUGGUGAAUGGAGGCCAGGCUCAACAUCAGCACACGUGUGAAUGAAGAUUCACUUUUUUCCUGUCAGGCUUCUUUUCUUCUGUCCAUCCUUCCUGCUGCUGAGCCUCACAAACUUCAAGGCCAGGCUGGAUGGGGCUGUGAGCUACCUGGGCUAGAGGGAGGGUGUUCCUGCCUGUAGCAGGGGGUUGGAAUCAGGUGAUCUCAAAGGUCCCUUCCAACCCAUACGAUUGGAACGAUUCUAUGAUUUUAUGGAACUCACAUAUUUGUUUUCUUCCUCAAUCUUGGCUGCUUUUCCCCUGUCCCUUGCGAUGUGUUCUUUCCUUAGGCUUAAUGCAAACACCUGGCCAGGACGGAAGUUUGAUCCUGCAAGAGCCAAGCAAUGCAGCAGCUUCAUCUCAUUGGGCAGAAGAUAAGCACUGCACAUGCAGAUCUUCCAGAUGUCCCAGGACUUGUCCCAGGAAUCUUCAUAUGCCCUCUGAAAGCCAGUUGUAAUGGAAAGGCUGCUUCAUGUGGUGCAUCGAACACGUUUCAUUUUGUGGCCCUCAAAUUGAGCAAAAAGGGCUGUCAGAGCAAGGCUGCAGGAUUCAGGCUCUGACCUUCACACCCUGCUCUCUCCUGUUCUUGCUGGUACUGUGUGCUGAGGGGAGGCUCCUGCAGCACCUGCCCUGGGAUAAGGCAUCACGGUUUGUUCCUGUCCCUGCCUUCAAGGUCUGUACCAUUCCACAUGGCUGUUUCUCUAGGAGAAAGCGUGUGUUCAGCAGUGUGAACCGUCUCCACAGAGCUGCAGCCUGGCUGAGUAACACAAUCCUUCACCUCUCCCCUUGGAGAACAGAAGGGACAGAAAUGUACUGACUACAACUAGGGGCAUCCCAUCCUGGUUUUGCUGCUGUCACGAGCCCCUCUUGUUCUGUCGGAAGGGUUUUGUGUGCAGAGAGAUGUAGCAGAUAGGCUGUGUUUGCCUGGGCCAUGAAGAGUAACAACCCUUUACAAGCAAAGAUGCACUCUUUAGCCUGCCAGGCAGUGUGCUUGGGAGCUCCACUGCUUCCUCAGGAUGUCCACAAAACGUCAUCCAACAAGAUGGCACCUACCAGCUGCUCUCACCUGGGUGGGCAAUGUGAGCCACUGUGUGCUCUGCCGGCCCUGUGCACAGUGAGGGGCGCUGGUGGUGUGAAUGGGAGAAACCAUAAACGCAGUUAGAGUGGGAAGGGAGAGGAAUUGCACCAUCCGUUAUCCAACUUGAGCAAAGUGACGUGAAGAAGGAUAUUAUUUUAGAAAGUUUAUCUCUUUAGUAUCUAUGGUGACAAGAUGCUUAUCGGAGUAAGACAGACUCACAGGCUGUCUGCUCCUUGUUAUCUCAGUGUAGGAUGACAGUAUAAGUAUCACGUCUAGAAAUGUUAUCUAUCCUUUAUUAUUUCACUUGUGAGGGUCUAACAGGAGUGUUAUCAGGGUGUUUACAAUCAAAACACGUGCGGCUCAAGUGAUAAAAAGGAGAACAGACAUCUGAUCUCCAAGGAUAUGAAGACAAUACAGCCUUGAGCAGGAGGAGAUGGAUCUUAUUGGAAAUGGUUAGUCGGGCUGGGAAUGGACAAGCAAGCCCGCGUGAUUGCUCACAUCAUAAGCUUGAGAGAUGGGAUGGGGGAGAAGCACGCGUACGAGCGCACGCGGUCUCACAGAAAAUGAAAAGGCGAUUGUAUCAACAGCACUCUCAGCUGAAAGAGAAAUAUUUU
rnacentral:lncRNA from 7 species